rnacentral:rRNA from 1 species
CUAUACAUGACUCUGCGCAUAUCAAUAAGCGGAGGAAAAGAAACUAACAAGGAUUCCCUUAGUAACGGCGAGUGAAGCGGGAAGAGCUCAAAUUUGAAAUCUUCAAGGUUUUACCUUGACGAAUUGUAGUUUAAAGAAGUGUUUUCUGCUGAAGUUUUGGUAAAAGUUCUUUGGAAUAGGACAUCAUAGAGGGUGAGAAUCCCGUAUUUGACCAUUAUUUUCAGCUUUGUGAUACACUUUCAAAGAGUCGGAUUGUUUGGGAAUGCAGUCCAAAAUGGGUGGCAAAUUUCAUCUAAAGCUAAAUAUUGGCGAGAGACCGAUAGCGAACAAGUACCGUGAGGGAAAGAUGAAAAGAACUUUGAAAAGAGAGUUAAACAGUACGUGAAAUUGUUAAAAGGGAAGCGUUUGACACCAGUGUUGUUUUUCUGAAAAUCAAUUAAAGAACUGUUUAUGCUAAGUUGUUUAGACUUUAUCAGCUAACUGUUUAGUUUUGAGCUUUUCUUUAAUGCACUUUUCAGUUAACAAGUCAACAUCAAUUUCUUUUGCUGUAAAAAAGCUUGAGGAAGGUGGCUUGAGAUUCGUCCUUAAGUGUUUAUAGCCUCUUGCCUAUGCAGUCGGAGAGAUUGAGGUCUGCAGCGUAGAUCCUUCGGGGCUAAAUGCAUUUGUGCUAAGUUAUAGCAUUUUAUAGACAACUUGUUGACUAUGAUUUGUCUUGUAGCUUACUCGCUUAUGUUAUUUUACCUACGCUUAGGAUGUUGAUCUACAGAGCGAGAGU